GGUCCGCAGUAGCAGACGAGAAAGGGGGGUGAUGGACAGAGAAGGGGAAGCCCCUAACCGACAGACAGGCUGGGGGUCUCCGUCAGACAGCAGACAGGCGAAAGAAGAGGGGGGUUGCUAAAUAUCCCAGCAGAAGGGGAAUCCCUAACAGGACCAGACAGGCUGGGGGUCUCCGUCAGAUCAGCAGGACACG
rnacentral:lncRNA from 1 species